rnacentral:ncRNA from 1 species
UGAGAGUAGUGUCUUAAGGGGGUGGUAUGUCCCAUCCAAGGCUAAAUAACGUGAGGAGACCGAUAGAUUACAAGUAGUGUGAACGAAAGAUGAAAAGAACUCUAAAACAGAGGGUGAAAAGUUCCUGAACUUGCUUAGGGUUAAGGCUAUUUAUAGUACCCGUCUUGAAACACGGAUUAGGGAGUUUAUCUGUAGUGCGAGUCUUUGCACGUUAACUGUAAAGGCGUAGAGAAAGCAACUGGCGUUUGCAUGGCUACUGAGCAUUACUGAUAGGACCCGAAAGGUGGUGAACUUUGCCUGCACAGGUUGAAGUCAGGGGAAACUCUGAUGGAGGACCGUACGGGUUAUUGAUGUGCAAAUCAUUUUUCUGAUGUAGGUAAAGGUGCGAAAGACUCAUCGAACCACCUAAUAGCUGGUUUCCUCCGAAGUUUCCCUCAGGAUAGCUGUAAUGCAUUUAGUUAAGGGGAGUAGAGAUAUGGGUAGAGGUGCAGGGAGCCUUCGGGUUCUCAACUUAUUUCCAAACUUCGAACCUCCUUGUUAGGCAUUUACCUAACUGGAAAUGCUUAAAUGAAUUAGCGUUACAAGUGGGCUCUGACCGGUAAGCGGUCAUGGCGAAAUGGGAUGAACCAUACGUCUGAAUAAGGUGCCGAAAUGUACUAUCACUGAUACCAUAAAGGGAGUCCAUGUAUUUAGACAGCAGGUCGGUGCCCCUAAAAGCAGGUAUCCGCUAAAGAGUGUGUUAAAACUCACCUGCCGAAUACUAGGGCCCCGAAAAUGAAUGGCGCAUAUAGUACUACCGAUCUCAGACAUCAGUUCUAUUGAACUGAGAGUAGGGGGAUGUGGACAUUUUUGUGAAGGUGCAAUGUGAGUUGGACUGGGAAGAAUGUCUAUUACAGAUCCUAAUUGAAGUAGCGAUUAUCCAGGCUUGUAUCCUGGGGGCUGAUGAGGAG